GAGGGUAACAGCUCAGUGGUAGAGCGCAGGCUUAGCAUGCAUGUGAUCCUGGGUUCAAUCCCCUGUACCUCCA
rnacentral:tRNA from 1 species